GUACUAAUGAAGAGUCCCAAAAUAGGACGUAACAGCUGUCUGGUAC
rfam:Trichobilharzia regenti genome assembly, scaffold: TRE_contig0011183